rnacentral:rRNA from 1 species
GAACGCGAAGAACCUUACCAAGGCUUGACAUGCACGGCGGCACUGCAGAGAUGUGGUGGCAUUUAGUUGGUCGUGUGCAGGUGGUGCAUGGUUGUCGUCAGCUCGUGUCGUGAGAUGUUGGGUUAAGUCCCGCAACGAGCGCAACCCUUGCCCUAUGUUGCCAGCACGUGAUGGUGGGGACUCGUGGGGGACUGCCGGGGUUAACUCGGAGGAAGGUGGGGAUGACGUCAAAUCAUCAUGCCCCUUAUGUCUUGGGCUUCACGCAUGCUACAAUGGCUGGUACAGAGGGUUGCGAUACUGUGAGGUGGAGCGAAUCCCUUAAAGCCAGUCUCAGUUCGGAUUGGGGUCUGCAACUCGACCCCAUGAAGGUGGAGUCGCUAGUAAUCGCAGAUCAGCAACGCUGCGGUGAAUACGUUCUCGGGUCUUGUACACACC